UACGAAGGGGGCUAGCGUUGCUCGGAAUUACUGGGCGUAAAGCGCACGUAGGCGGCUCUUUAAGUCGGGGGUGAAAUCCUGGAGCUCAACUCCAGAACUGCCUUUGAUACUGAGGAUCUUGAGUUCGGGAGAGGUGAGUGGAACUGCGAGUGUAGAGGUGAAAUUCGUAGAUAUUCGCAAGAACACCAGUGGCGAAGGCGGCUCACUGGCCCGAUACUGACGCUGAGGCACGAAAGCGUGGGGGAGCAAACAGG
rnacentral:rRNA from 1 species